CGUCCCUCCUAACCUUAUUUAAGGGCUGAUAACCACAAGGGAAGCAUUUCUACUUGGAGAUUGCCUCCUUUGGAGUCUUUGGUGAGCUCUGAGUAGUGGAAAGGAAAGUGUCGAUUAUGGACCAGUGUUUGUACAGGAGCCAGAUGAUGUGAUUUUUCCCACUGAUUCUGAAGAGAAGAAAGUGUCUCUGAAUUGUCAAGCUCAUGGAAAUCCUACCCCCACAUAUAGAAGAACUCAAUCAACAAGUACUUCAAGCAUAUCCAUUUCUUCAGCUCUCCAGAGAUUUACUGGUAUUAGCAGCUUCAGAAACAGCCUGUCCUGACUGCUGUUCAUUCAAAGAAGGCUUUGACAAUAAAGGCCUAGUUCUAGUUC